rnacentral:rRNA from 1 species
AAGAUGGCGACCGGCGCACGGGUGAGUAACACGUAUCCAACCUGCCGAUAACUCGGGGAUAGCCUUUCGAAAGAAAGAUUAAUAUCCGAUGGUAUAUUAAGAUCGCAUGAUUUUACUAUUAAAGAAUUUCGGUUAUCGAUGGGGAUGCGUUCCAUUAGUUUGUUGGCGGGGUAACGGCCCGCCAAGACUACGAUGGAUAGGGGUUCUGAGAGGAAGGUCCCCCACAUUGGAACUGAGACACGGUCCAA